GAUGAACGCUAGCGGCAGGCCUAACACAUGCAAGUCGAGGGGUAGUUACUUUCGGGUAAUGAGACCGGCGCACGGGUGCGUAACGCGUAUGCAAUCUACCUUUUACAGGGGAAUAGCCCAGAGAAAUUUGGAUUAAUGCCCCAUAAUAUAUGUUUUUCGCAUGUUAGACAUAUUAAAGUUCCAACGGUAAAAGAUGAGCAUGCGUCCCAUUAGUUAGUUGGUAAGGUAACGGCUUACCAAGACGAUGAUGGGUAGGGGUCCUGAGAGGGAGAUCCCCCACACUGGUACUGAGACACGGACCAGACUCCUACGGGAGGCAGCAGUGAGGAAUAUUGGACAAUGGGCGCAAGCCUGAUCCAGCCAUGCCGCGUGCAGGAUGACGGUCCUAUGGAUUGUAAACUGCUUUUUGUACGAGAAGAAACACUCCGACGUGUCGGAGCUUGACGGUAUCGUAAGAAUAAGGAUCGGCUAACUCCGUGCCAGCAGCCGCGGUAAAGU
rnacentral:rRNA from 1 species